rnacentral:rRNA from 1 species
AUUGAACGCUGGCGGCAUGCCUUACACAUGCAAGUCGAACGGCAGCACGGGUGCUUGCACCUGGUGGCGAGUGGCGAACGGGUGAGUAAUACAUCGGAACGUACCUUAUCGUGGGGGAUAACGCAGCGAAAGUUGCGCUAAUACCGCAUACGCCCUGAGGGGGAAAGCGGGGGACCGUAAGGCCUCGCGCGAUUAGAGCGGCCGAUGUCUGAUUAGCUUGUUGGUGAGGUAAAAGCUCACCAAGGCGAUGAUCAGUAGCUGGUCUGAGGGGACGAUCAGCCCAACUGGGACUGAGACACGGCCCAGACUCCUACGGGAGGCAGCAGUGGGGAAUUUUGGACAAUGGGGGCAACCCUGAUCCAGCAAUGCCGCGUGAGUGAAGAAGGCCUUCGGGUUGUAAAGCUCUUUUGUCAGGGAAGAAACAGCAGCUCUAACACAGUCUGCGAAUGACGGUACCUGAAGAAUAAGCACCGGCUAACUACGUGCCAGCCGCCGCCGUAA